rnacentral:rRNA from 1 species
GCCAUGCCGCGUGUAUGAAGAAGGCCUUCGGGUUGUAAAGUACUUUCAGUGUGAGGAAGGGGGUGUCGUUAAUAGCGGCAUCUCUUGACGUUAGCAACAGAAGAAGCACCGGCUAACUCCGUGCCAGCAGCCGCGGUAAUACGGAGGGUGCGAGCGUUAAUCGGAAUUACUGGGCGUAAAGCGCAUGCAGGUGGUUCAUUAAGUCAGAUGUGAAAGCCCGGGGCUCAACCUCGGAACUGCAUUUGAAACUGGUGAACUAGAGUACUGUAGAGGGGGGUAGAAUUUCAGGUGUAGCGGUGAAAUGCGUAGAGAUCUGAAGGAAUACCAGUGGCGAAGGCGGCCCCCUGGACAGAUACUGACACUCAGAUGCGAAAGCGUGGGGAGCAAACAGGAUUAGAUACCCUGGUAGUCCACGCCGUAAACGAUGUCUACUUGGAGGUUGUGGCCUUGAGCCGUGGCUUUCGGAGCUAACGCGUUAAGUAGACCGCCUGGGGAGUACGGUCGCAAGAUUAAAACUCAAAUGAAUUGACGGGGGCCCGCACAAGCGGUGGAGCAUGUGGUUUAAUUCGAUGCAACGCGAAGAACCUUACCUACUCUUGACAUCCAGAGAAGCCAGCGGA